rnacentral:lncRNA from 1 species
UUUUUUUUGGUACUGGGGAUUGAACUCGGGACCUUGCACUUGCGAGGCUGGCAGCAGAACCACUGAGCUAAAUCCCCAGCCCUGGUUCUUCAUGUUAACAGGGAGCAAGUGAGUUACAGGUAGCCCUUUUCCUUCUGGCCCAAGCUGUGUCUUUGAACGACUUGCUGAAAGGUAAAUGGGUUUGUUCAACACUAUCUGGUUAUCUUUUCAUUACCAAAGUCUGCCUGGUGGUCUGUCCUGGGGAGUCAGGCCUCCCCUAUACCCUUGGGUAGAAGCCCUAGGAAACUGCACUGAGGUUCCUUGGUCACUCGUGCAGGCCUUCCCUUGAGAAAUGCUAGGAAAGAAUGGUUUCCUGGGCUUUUAAUAGCUUGGUGAUUAGUUUAUACUUCUUAAAAUCAAAGAUGCAUAUGCUAUAGUUUGUGUAGCAUGGCUGUCUAAAAAGAAAUGCACAGCGAUAACAUAUUUGCAUGUUGCUGCCUUCUUUUUUGGGGGGGGGGUCGGUCAGGGUUUCACUGUGUAGCCCAGGCUGGUCUUGAACUCACUAUGGACCCUAGGCUGGCCUCUUCUAACUUGCAGUGAUCCUCCUGCCUCAGCCUCCCGAGUGCUGGGACCACAAGUGUGAGCCACCACGCUUUGCCUGUUGCCUUAUUUUCAAAUAAAGGUAAAAGGUCAAUUCUCUAGAAAUGAAAUGAACCUUAGUAAAGUACACAGCAUGUGACAUUCUCCUGUAAUCCCAGCUUAGUUUACAAGGAAAUAGAAUAAGAAUUAGAAGAUUUAGGACUAAUCUCGCUCUGAACUCAAAAUUGUGCAAGUGUGAGGUAAUAAUUCAGCACACUUUUAGGAAUCCUACUUUACAAUGACACUGGAAGUUGUUCGUUACCAAUAACCCUUAUCUUCCUGUCCGGCCCCCCUCUAGUGUUGCUGUGAGAGGCAAGGCUAUCUCCUGCUGCCUCCUGAGUGCUGGGAUGAUAGGCUGCCACACCAGAUGUCAUCAAAUUUUAUUUUAUUUAUUUAUUUACUUAUUUAUUUUGAGACUAGGUCUUGCUCUGUUCUGUAAUUCAGGCUGGCCUUGAACUCACUAUGGAGCCCAGGCUGGCCUUGAACACCGGGCAAUCCUCCUGCUUCAGCCUCUUGAGUGCUGGGCUCCCAGGCCUGCGCCACCACACCCAGCAUGUCAUCAAAUUUUACAUGUGGAUUUUUUUUUAAAUGAAAGGGAUAUUACAGCUAGGCAUGGUGGCGCAUGCCUGUAAUCCCAACACUUAGGAGGCUGAGGCAGAAGGAUCACUGUGAAUUCGAGGCCAGCCUGGGUUACAUGUUGAGUUCAAGGCCAGGUGGAAUUACAAAGCAUGACCCUGUCUCAAAAAAAAGGGGGGGGAUAUAUUACAGAUGAUCUAACUCAUUUUUUUUUUAUAAAAAGAAAACUAAAAGUUGCUAGAAACUGAGAUGAAACUCAGAUCUCCUGACACACACACUUCGGUACUUUUUCCGGCCUGUCCCAGGGCCGCAGUGUGAGCAUGUGCACCCCUGCGCUCGCUCGUGCAUGUGGAUAUGCGUGGGCGCGCAUGUGUGUUUAUAUUGGGCUCAGCACCCUCUUAAGUCCCUCAGCUGAGUAGCAAAAACUCAUACAUUUUUGACAUCUAGAUUUCUGACUUAGAAAUUCAAUGUACUGUUACGGAUAUUUAAUUAGCAUCUACCACAUAAACUGUGCCAUAUUUUAUUCCUGGGAUUACAGAUCGGAGAACAUUCAGAAAAGCCAAUUCGUGCCUUUCUUUAGAGAAUUCUUUAAAAGUACAGAUAAGGUUGACAGAAUUAUGAUUCAUCUAUUUUUAGUUAAGACAUUUUCAUCUCAGUCAAGUCUAAUAUGCUCCCCUAAUUAUAGUGAUAUAUUUUCUAAAUUACAAAUCCAGACACAUGGAUCAACACAUGGCCCUGUAAGUCUGUGUGUUUGGUACAGAAACAUUAUUUGGCUAAUGGAAAGAAAUUAUGCUUCGGGGCACACGAAAAAUGUAGCGUUUCUCUUGCUAAGCCAUUCCCAAAAUAUCGUACCUAGUUUCUUGCCAUUUCUGCGCUUAAUUAAUUAUAAAAUUUAAAAUAAUUCAUGUUUAUUACAAAUAGAAUGUUCAUUAUAGAACACCAAAACCUCAGUACAAAUAAUUUAUAAAAUAUUUCGAUGCAAAUGAAGGGAUCUUUUCAUUUAAAAUGCUCAUAUUUUCACAAUUCAAUCCUACUUUCUGUCUGCAACUAAAAAAAAAAAAAGAGAAACCCAAGUACUAAAAAUAAACCGGAAUUUAAAGUCACUGAGUAAAACUCCUAUGUUCUUUAAAAAAAAAAAGACUGCCCGAGCAUUACGAAUCUGUACAAUAAACACGAAAUCGGUCACUUGACCAUGCCCACCCUCAGCCCCUCCACGGAUCCAUGCCCCCUACCCUCUCCCACACUUUUUUAGAAAUAUCCUUUCUGAAUGUAGUUUUCUUUAGCAGGGAAGGCGACAGGGCCCGGGUCUCAGGACUCGAGACUCGGUCGGGGCAAGGAGGCGACCUCCUGAUUUUGCGUCCUCGGGGCUGAGGCGAGAUCUACAAGGCCUGCCCUGACCCCCACCGCGC